GGAAGGUUUCUCCCCAAUUUUUUCGUCCGUUUUUUGUUUACCCCUGUUUUUCUACAGAAAUUAUAGCAUAUGCCACCGCCUAUGUGAAAUAACCUUUCGUCCAACUGAACUGGGCCUUCGUCCUCUCACAUCCGUCGAACGAGAGAGAAAACGCCGCCGUCGCUAACCGCCACGGACCUCACGCCCUCCUCCUCCUGCGUGGAUCCCGCCGACCGGAAGUGACCUUCCAUCUCUCUCAAGAUCAACCAGAGGCGCCGUCCUCAUCCCCUGCAUCCCGAGCGGACGGAUGCACCGUUCGAAGUAGCAGUGUCCCCGGCGACCUCCUCGCUGUUAUAUCGAUUACUCCUGCGGCCUCUCAUCUUUCUGCAGGUAUGCCCCUCGGCUCCACUGUGUAAGAGGACAAGGCACGUAUCCACCCCGAGCUCCGGCGUCCGGCGCAGGUUUCUUGCCGAAUCGCACGAAGCGACGACCAUGCUACUGCCUUGUUGCUGGUGUGAUGCGCCUCGAUCUGGAACGGGGAAAGAAGGGGAGAGAAAGAGAGGAGCUCGCCCCCAGCCUCCUAACCUCCCGACCUACUCACCGACGGCCUCUCCGAUCUGUUCCGCCUCCAGGUCCGGACAGAGUGGAUUACAGGUUUUUGUUCAGCCAAAUCACGAGAUAAUUAGCCACUGACCCAUUGCUUCGUCUGAUUAUAUAUACGUGGUAUGUUAUUCUGAA